rnacentral:tRNA from 1 species
CGCCGAGAUACCGUGGGCCGGAUCGUAGUAGUCGAUCAGGUCGAACGUGGUCGACUUGGGCUUGCCGUUCGACUCGCCGCUCACCACC